rnacentral:rRNA from 1 species
UAGAGUUUGAUCAUGGCUCAGAUUGAACGCUGGCGGCAGGCCUAACACAUGCAAGUCGAGCGGUAGAGAGAAGCUUGCUUCUCUUGAGAGCGGCGGACGGGUGAGUAAUGCCUAGGAAUCUGCCUGGUAGUGGGGGAUAACGUUCGGAAACGGACGCUAAUACCGCAUACGUCCUACGGGAGAAAGCAGGGGACCUUCGGGCCUUGCGCUAUCAGAUGAGCCUAGGUCGGAUUAGCUAGUUGGUGAGGUAAUGGCUCACCAAGGCGACGAUCCGUAACUGGUCUGAGAGGAUGAUCAGUCACACUGGAACUGAGACACGGUCCAGACUCCUACGGGAGGCAGCAGUGGGGAAUAUUGGACAAUGGGCGAAAGCCUGAUCCAGCCAUGCCGCGUGUGUGAAGAAGGUCUUCGGAUUGUAAAGCACUUUAAGUUGGGAGGAAGGGCAGUUACCUAAUACGUGAUUGUUUUGACGUACC